GGUUGACCUCGGAUCAGGUAGGGAUACCCGCUGAACUUAAGCAUAUCAAUAAGCGGAGGAAAAGAAACCAACAGGGAUUGCCUUAGUAACGGCGAGUGAAGCGGCAACAGCUCAAAUUUGAAAGCUGGCCCUUUUAGGGUCCGCAUUGUAAUUUGUAGAGGAUGAUUCGGCGAGGGCUCCUGCCUAAGUCCCCUGGAACGGGGCGUCAUAGAGGGUGAGAAUCCCGUAUGCGGUAGGUUGCCUUAGCCAUGUGAAUCUCCUUCGACGAGUCGAGUUGUUUGGGAAUGCAGCUCUAAAUGGGAGGUAAAUUUCUUCUAAAGCUAAAUACCGGCCAGAGACCGAUAGCGCACAAGUAGAGUGAUCGAAAGAUGAAAAGCACUUUGGAAAGAGAGUUAAAAAGUACGUGAAAUUGUUGAAAGGGAAGCGCUUGCAACCAGACUUGUCCGCAGUUGCUCAGCCGGUCUCCUGACCGGCGUACUCUUCUGCGGCCAGGCCAGCAUCAGUUCGGGCGGUCGGAUAAAGGCCUCGGGAAUGUGGCUCCUCUCGGGGAGUGUUAUAGCCCGGGGUGCAAUGCGGCCAGCCUGGACUGAGGAACUCGCUUCGGCAAGGAUGCUGGCGUAAUGGUUGUAAGCGGCCCGUCUUGAAACACGGACCAAGGAGUCUAACAUCUAUGCGAGUGUUCGGGUGUCAAACCCGUACGCGUAAUGAAAGUGAACGGAGGUGGGAACCCGCAAGGGUGCACCAUCGGCCGAUCCUGAUGUCUUCGGAUGGAUUUGAGCAAGAGCAUAGCUGUUGGGACCCGAAAGAUGGUGAACUAUGCCUGAAUAGGGUGAAGCCAGAGGAAACUCUGGUGGAGGCUCGCAGCGGUUCUGACGUGCAAAUCGAUCGUCAAAUUUGGGUAUAGGGGCGAAAGACUAAUCGAACCAUCUAGUAGCUGGUUCCUGCCGAAGUUUCCC
rnacentral:rRNA from 1 species